AAAAAAACAUAUGCAUGUGAUCCUGAAAA
rnacentral:sRNA from 1 species